GGAUGAACGCUGGCGGCGUGCCUAAUACAUGCAAGUCGAACGGGUGUAGCAAUACAUUAGUGGCGAACGGGUGAGUAACACGUUGGUGACCUGCCCUAAAGAGGGGAAUACCACUUCGAAAGGAGUGACAAAACCGCAUGCGCUUUUGGAAGUUAGAGAACCAAAAGGAAAAGUGAAAACUACUUUAGGAGGGGCCUGCGGCCCAUCAGCUAGUUGGUGAGGGUAAAAGCCCACCAAGGCGAAGACGGGUAGGGGACCUGAGAGGGUGAUCCCCCACAAUGGAACUGAAACACGGUCCAUACACCUGCGGGUGGCAGCAGUAGGGAAUAUUGCUUAAUGGGCGAAAGCCUGAAGCAGCAACGCCGCGUGAACGAAGAAGGCCUUCGGGUCGUAAAGUUCUUUUAGGUGGGAUGAGGAAGGACAGUACCACCAGAAUAAGUCUCGGCUAACUACGUGCCAGCAGCCGCGGUAAAACGUAGGAGACGAGCGUUAUCCGGAUUUACUGGGCGUAAAGAGCGUGUAGGAGGCAGUGCAAGUUGGAUGUGAAAGCUCCCGGCUUAACUGGGAGAGGUCGUUCAAAACUGUGCAGCUAGAGGAAGGCAGAGGUAGACGGAACUCCGGGAGUAGUGGUGAAAUGCGUAGAUAUCCGGAAGAACACCAGAGGCGAAGGCGGUCUACUGGGCCUUAACUGACACUGAGACGCGAAAGCCAGGGUAGCAAACGGGAUUAGAGACCCCGGUAGUCCUGGCCGUAAACGAUGCAGACUGGGCGUUUAUGGGGUAAAACCUGUGAGUGCUGAAGCAAACGCGAUAAGUCUGCCGCCUGGGGAGUACGGUCGCAAGAUUA
rnacentral:rRNA from 1 species